UCAUAACACACAAAAAUGUGAGAGUUCAUCAGUGAGAAAAAACAAAGGGUUUCUGGCAUUCUGCAUUAAAAUCAUUUGUGAGAGAAUAAUACUGCUUUCUGGUUCGCUGAGCACACAUAAAUUGUGCUAAUUUUUGUGAGCGUGAGCGAUGCAUCCUAGGAGACAGACGCCAAUCAACCGUAAACACCAGUGACAGAGCGAAUUAUAUCUUAAGGAGACAAUGUUGAACGCUGGUCUCGAUCCACUUCUAUUAAUUUUAUGUUUAUUGUUUUCAAUACAAUUUCUGUUUAGUUUGUAAUUUAUUUUUCACUUCUAAAUUCAGCAGAUUUAUUGAAUUUUAUAUCAACAAAGGUUUAUUUCAUAAAUUGUUUUGAUACCAUCCCAUAAUGGUUGUGGCUCUGGUGCUUUUUGUUGUAUCCAUCUUCCAAUUCUUUUCUGGUUAUGAUGUUGAGAAAUCGAGAUCAGUUCGUGUUCCCUGUAUCUCCUCGGCAAGAACCUGCGUCAUGCAUUACUGUCUUCUCUGACAGGCCUCAAUCCAGAAAGAUGCAAAACGAUAGCUAUUGUGUUUAUGGUUCAGAUAUUGCAACCGACUUGGGCGUGGGGUCGCUGCUGGUCCUCACGGCCAGUCAACUUAUUGUAAUGGCAGCAAGUCGAUGCUUGUGCUGUGGGAAAGUUUUGAGACCCAGUAGUUUAAGGGCACAGGCAAUUGCCCCAUUCCUUUCCUGCCGGUAUGUGUUCAUGCCGUCAUGACUUGCCUUUAGGACUUAACUCUGUAGAUUUUUUUGUAGAUUUGACCUGACUUAAUUUCUUUUAUUUUGGGAUGUGUUUGGAACUUAUGAAAGGCAAGAAAAGAAGAUAAAUAAUAGGAAAGGGAAAGAGAAAUUCAGGAAAUGUAAUAAUUUUUCUUUUGUUUGGUUACGCAAAAGAGGAAAGAAAACAAUAGCCUAACUUAACAGAGAAAAUGAGGAAAGGAAAGAUGAAAGGAAAAGAAAGUGAGAAGGAAAAUAAUUUCUCAAUUGUUUUUCCUUGAGUUUUUCCCAAAUUAGGAGCCUAACAGAGAAAGGAAGGAAAGACAUGUGAGAUAAGAAUAUAGGAGGGACUUUUUUUUUCUUUGUAUUGUGACUGGUAAUAUACUUGAUCAUCUAUUCUUUAAUCCAACCAGGAGAGGGAAACUAGUUUCUCUUCAAUUUUUAUCAUUUCUCACUACCCACUAGCUAAACCCACCCACUCAAACCAAACAGUCUGUCAAUUUCUUGAAUAUUUCAGGGUGCCAUUUGUUAUUGCUGAAGUUUGUUUGCUCGCGGGUUCGGUGAGGAAUGUCUACCACACCAAGUACAGAACCGCAUUGUCGAACCCUCCUUGUGACUUGUGAGACCUUGAGAAAGGAAGUCCGUCCUUGGGGGCAGGGCUGCCUUCAUUGUUUUCACCGGCAUUUUCUUCGAGCUUUAUUAUGUCUACUUCUUGAAGGCCAAUGAUGGGUUCCAACCUGAUAAAGACACUGGCAUAGGGAUGGGAACCUAGAAGUGAACUCUGAUAGAGAGAGGUGAAGUGUUCUUUAUAUCUGUUUUAUAGAUGUUUUCGCUUUUUAACCUUCCUGAUCGAUGAUUAUUGUAAACUAGUAUGAGAGACUACAUGAUACAGGUUGAAGUUCUUCUACUUCUAGAUUGGUUUUAAUUUUAGUGCAUAUAUAUAUUCUUGACAUCUAUUCUUGUCUUUUAGUUUAUGAAAGCUUGCCUUAAACAUUUAAGGUAAUGUCAGCUCAAGAAUAAUGCUAUAUAUCACACCAUUAGAGUUGGAAUUGGAAUUUCAAAUCACAAUAUCGGUAUCGGUGAUAUUGUCUUGUAUCAGCCGAUAUUAAACAAUAUUGGCCGACAUAUUUAUUAACGUGUGACAUCAGAGGCAGCCAAAUCCCGAUAGGAAAGUGUCGGGAUUUGGGUUAAAAGUUGAAAAAAACAAUUUUGAAGGCCAAAGUAUAAAUUGGUCAAUACUUGGAAAGAGAAAAAGAGUAAUUAAGCCUCUUAUUAUCUCACACAACACACAACGGAAGAGAGUUGUGUCAUGUACCUCUUCCUUCCACUCGUGGAAUGAAGAGGAUUUAAGUCCCUCCCACAGUUUUAUCCUUCAAACUGACUCAUCCAUGAGUCCAACCCAGAAUGCAACUAAUUCAACUUUCAUAAAUUGGAACAAAAAAUCAACUCAGUAUUGGAUUUUCCAUAUGGGUGUCGUGAACACAAAACCCUUUUUCGGGGUAAAAUACAAAAAUGGUACCUAAAGUAUGUGGUUAGUGUCACUUUUAUCCUCUAAAUUUAAAAUUUAUCAAAUUUGUCUUUAUGGUUUUCAAAUUAAAUCAAAUGAGUCCAAUUUGGUUCAACCAAUCUGAUUGAACCAUUUGAAAUUUGACAAUUUUGAUUCAAUUUAAAAAAGUUAAUUAUGAAAUUGAAAAAAAUAAAACUUAAGAGGCCAAAGUAACGCAGACUGCAUAUUUUAGGAACCAUUUAUG
rnacentral:lncRNA from 1 species